GCGAAGCCCACCCCGGCCCUCGCCGCCUUCGCGCUCCCGUGCCAGGAGCCAGUACAGCUGCAGCUUUUAGAUGGUUGUCCAACUCGAUCCAUAAACGGCGCUCAGCGAGGCAUCCUUUUACAAGAAAGGUGUUCUCAAAGAAAAAAACCGAACCAAACGUGGCGGCUUUCUUUCCAUUGACCCUGGACGGCUAAACCACAGGGGCUGAGGCGGAGAAGCUUCGAAGAAUCAAGACUCUUGGGAUUUGUAGCUGCUAAAAUGGUCCCUGGGGGACUGAGCGGCCCAGCUGCACAAGGCUUGACCCAAGGGCUGUAUGAGGAGGCUUCGGGUGCCACGCCUAGCUCCCAACAAAAGAAGAACCAAAUGGGGGAUUGCUCCUUGGCUCAGUGCAUGCAGCAAAGCCUGAGAACCUGAGUUCAAACCCCAGGACCCACAGGGGAGACGAGAACUCAUUCCUGUGACCUGCACAUUUGUGCUGUGGUCUGUCACACACACAGUGAUAAAAAAGUAAAUAGAUAAUACAAAACAAACAACGAAAGGCUGAAGAGUGACAAAAAAGAGAACCCGUCUGGGCUUAGUUGGUAGAGUGUCUGCAUGGGUUUCAUCCCCAGGAUCACAUAAACCAGGCCUGUUGUCACAAGUCUGGGCCUCUGCACUCCGGAGGAGGAGGAGGCAGGAGGAAUGUGAGGCCAGCCUUGCCUACAUACAUAGUUUGAAGACAGAGGCCAAAAAGAUGUAACAAGCUUGUUUUGUGAGUUGAUUUCUCUUGAGUUUAUUUUUUUUUAUUUUUGAGACAGGGUCUCUCUUAUUAUGUGGCUCUGGCUGUCCUGGAACUCACUAUGGAGACCAGGCUGGCCUCAAACUCAGAGAUCCACCUGCCUCUGACUCCAGAGUGCUGGGAUUAGAGGCGUGCACCACCA